rnacentral:lncRNA from 1 species
UUAAAAUCUCAUGUUAGACAAUGCAGUAAUGUUCAGAGUUGAAAUCAUUAGAUUAUGGGAAUUGUAAACUCAUCAAGUGGAUUAAUUCAUUUGAUGGAUGAAUAACUUUAAUGGACUCUUAGGUGGUAAUGUAGGUAGUUGGGGUAUGGCUGAAGGAAGUAGGUACUGGGAACAUGGCCUUGGACCAUAGCUGUCCCUGGAUCCUUGUGUGCCCUAACCCUCCUGGCUGCCGUUGAGCUGAGCAGCUUUCCUCCACAAGGCCUUCCACCAUGAUGUUCUGCCUCAUCUGCGGCCCAGAGCAAUGGACCCAGCUGACCACGGAUUGAAUCUCUAAAACUGUAAGCCAAAAAUAAACUUCCUCCUUUUAGUUGUCUUUGUUGGGUAUUUUGGUCACAAUGAUAAACAGUUAACUCAUACACAAAUGUACCCUUUCUGAAUUCAAUUUUUCUAUCUGAAAUUAUCCUCCUGGUUGGAAAUUUCUCUUUAGGAUAUGAUUUUUUUUUUAAUUGUAAGUUUUGCUUUGUUUCAACUGAGGUCCUGAUGAUAAAUUACCUGUUUUAGUUUGUCUAAAACCAAUUUUUUUUCCCUGAGGUUUUGAGAGGUAUUCUCACUGGAUAUAGAAUCCUGGGUUAGAAGCUGUAUUAGUCAGCUUUUUCACUGUUGUGACUAAAAGGCAUGACCAGAACAAUUGUAGAAAAGGAAAAGUUUAUUCAGGGGCACAGAGUUUCAGAGGUUUCGGUUCAUAAACAGAAGCCUCCAUUCCUCUGGAUACUGAACAUCACCGCAGAAGAGUGAGGCAGAGUUAAGCAGCUCACAGGAUGAUCAGACAGCAGAGAGAGACUCUAUAUGACAGAUGCAAAAUUCCCCAAAGUCAUGCCCCUAAUGCCCACUCCCUCCAGUCACACCCCACCUGCCUUCAGUUACCACUCAGUUAAUAUCCUAAGAGGAUUAAUCCACUGAUUGGGUUAAAAUUCUCAUAACCCAAUCAUUUUUCCUCUGAACCUUCUUACAUUGUCUCACACAUGAGCUUUUGGGGGACACCUCACAUCCACAUCCAAACCAUAGCAGAAGCUACUUCUUUUAAGUAUGCUAUGUAUACC